UACGAAGGGGGCUAGCGUUGCUCGGAAUUACUGGGCGUAAAGCGCACGUAGGCGGCUUUCUAAGUCGGGGGUGAAAUCCUGGAGCUCAACUCCAGAACUGCCUUCGAUACUGGAAAGCUCGAGUCCGGGAGAGGUGAGUGGAACUGCGAGUGUAGAGGUGAAAUUCGUAGAUAUUCGCAAGAACACCAGUGGCGAAGGCGGAUCACUGGCCCGGUACUGACGCUGAGGUGCGAAAGCGUGGGGAGCAAACAGG
rnacentral:rRNA from 1 species